rnacentral:sRNA from 1 species
GACAAGACGGGAGCGCUGUACAGGGCCAU